UUUUCAGUGUCGCAGCGAAAGCGAUAAACACACCGCCUGGGGAGUACGACCGCAAGGUUAAAACUCAAAUGAAUUGACGGGGACCCGCACAAGUAGUGGAGCAUGUGGUUUAAUUCGAAGAUACGCGCAGAACCUUACCAACACUUGACAUGUUCGUCGCGACUCUAAGAGAUUAGAGUUUUCGGUUCGGCCGGACGAAACACAGGUGCUGCAUGGCUGUCGUCAGCUCGUGUCGUGAGAUGUUGGGUUAAGUCCCGCAACGAGCGCAACCCUCACUUUUAGUUGCCAUCAUUAAGUUGGGCACUCUGAAAGAACUGCCAGUGAUAAGCUGGAGGAAGGUGGGGAUGACGUCAAGUCCUCAUGGCCCUUACGUGUUGGGCUACACACGUGCUACAAUGGUAUCUACAACAGGAAGCAAGACUGCGAGGUCAAGCAAAUCCUUAAAAGAUACCUCAGUUCGGAUUGCACUCUGCAACUCGAGUGCAUGAAGCUGGAAUUACUAGUAAUCGUGGAUCAGCGUGCCACGGUGAAUGCGUUCCCGGGUCUUGUACACACCGCCCGUCACACCAUGGGAGUUGGUUCUACCUUAAGGCAAGGUUUAAUACCCUUGACCACGGUAUAGUCAGCGACUGGGGUGAAGUCGUAACAAGGUAGCCGUAGGGGAACCUGCGGCUGGAUUACCUCCUU
rnacentral:rRNA from 1 species